rnacentral:lncRNA from 1 species
UGGUGUGGAGAGUCCUCUAGGGACCAUGGGGGUGUCCACCAACUAAGCGCCUAAGGUGCUGGUGCUUACUGGAUGGAACUUGUGACCUUGGUCAGGCUGGUUUUCUGCUUUCUUAAUGUUAUCUCAGGUCCCGCGCGAUGGGAUUGGAACAGUUGUGCUCCACUCACCAGUGAUCCUAAGAUCGCAUGGAAAGUCCUCUAGGGACCAUGGGGUGUCUGCUGAUUCCGUGCCUAAACUGGGGAAUAUAAAGUUUGCAAGACCAAGGGGCCUCUCUUCCCAGUGAUGGCUGACUAAGCCAUCUUCUGCUACAAACUUAGAAUACCCAAGAUACAAUUUGCAAAACACAAGAAAAUCAAGAAGAAGGAAGACCAACAUGUUUCCUAAUCUUAUAAGGUCGUUUUAAAAUACCAAGAAUAUUUGCUGUCAGAUGAAACUCUGAAGAAAACAGCAAAAUGCAGUACCCUCAGAGGAUGGCCUUAGCACAGGCGGUCUGUCUGUCUGGCAGUGAAACACAUCUCAGAAUACAGAAACAGCAGAAGAAAGACACCCACGCAUCAGCUGCAAUUGGCACCAUAAUGGACAAAUGUGUGAUGAAGAGUUUGGAAAAAUGGAAUACACAGUGGAAAGAUGGAAGAGAAAGCAAGGCCAAGGAGUUUGUACACUGUGGAGAAAGGUAGAACUGGAAACUUGAUGGCAAUGAGGAACAGGAAGAUAUGAGGAGGACAUGGUGAGGUCUGUGCCUGACCUAUCACCAAGGACAAUCUCUGGAUCCAUGAUCAUGAUGCACUGGGGAUCUGGGUUGAUGCCCAUGGCCCAGGUUACCACCAAAGGCCAAGUAAAUCACCAUGCUCUAGGAUGCCC